rnacentral:rRNA from 1 species
UACAGAGGUCUCAAGCGUUUGUUCGGAUUCAUUGGGCGUAAAGGGUGCGUAGGCGGUUUGGUAAGUCUUAUGUGAAAUCUACAGGCUCAACUUGUAGUCUGCAUGAGAAACUGCCGGGCUUGAGUAUGGGAGAGGUGAGUGGAAUUCCUGGUGUAGCGGUGAAAUGCGUAGAUAUCAGGAGGAACACCUGUGGCGAAAGCGGCUCACUGGACCAUAACUGACGCUGAUGCACGAAAGCUAGGGGGAGCAAACAGG